UACGAAGGGGGCUAGCGUUGUUCGGAAUUACUGGGCGUAAAGCGCACGUAGGCGGUGGUCUUUGUCAGAGGUGAAAGCCCGGGGCUCAACUCCGGAAUUGCCUUUGAAACGGGACCGCUUGAGUCCGAGAGAGGGUGGCGGAAUUCCUAGUGUAGAGGUGAAAUUCGUAGAUAUUAGGAAGAACACCAGUGGCGAAGGCGGCCACCUGGCUCGGUACUGACGCUCAGGUGCGAAAGCGUGGGGAGCAAACAGG
rnacentral:rRNA from 1 species